UUCUGCAGAAUGGGACUUGUAUCGCUGUGUCUCAGUGUCCUUGUGUCUACCACGGCACCUCAUACACACAGGGACACACUCUGGAGCAGGGCUGCAGUGUCUGUGUGUGUAUGGGGGGAGUGUGGAACUGCACGGACAACAACUGUACAGCGGAGUGUUCAGUAGUAGGUGACGUGUUUGUGACAUCGUUCGAUGGAGGAUGUUCCUGCAGCCAGGGGAGUGUCAGUACGUCUUGGCCAAGAGCCGCAGCGGCAGCAGAUUCACUGUUACACUUGCAGUAUACCACCUGC